rnacentral:rRNA from 1 species
UUCCCAGACUCCUACGGGAGGCAGCAGUGAGGAAUAUUGGUCAAUGGGCGGGAGCCUGAACCAGCCAAGCCGCGUGAGGGAAGAAGGUACAGCGUAUCGUAAACCUCUUUUGUCAGGGAACAAAGGCGGGGACUAGUCCCCGGAUGAGGGUACCUGAAGAAAAAGCAUCGGCUAACUCCGUGCCAGCAGCCGCGGUAAUACGGAGGAUGCGAGCGUUAUCCGGAUUUAUUGGGUUUAAAGGGUGCGUAGGCGGACAGUCAAGUCAGCGGUAAAAAUGCGGUGCUCAACGCCGUACAGCCGUUGAAACUGGCAGUCUUGAGUGGGCGAGAAGUAUGCGGAAUGCGUGGUGUAGCGGUGAAAUGCAUAGAUAUCACGCAGAACUCCGAUUGCGAAGGCAGCAUACCGGCGCCCGACUGACGCUGAGGCACGAAAGCGUGGGUAUCGAACAGGAUUAGAUACCCGAGUAUC